ACUCCUACGGGAGGCAGCAGUGAGGAAUAUUGGUCAAUGGGCGAGAGCCUGAACCAGCCAAGUAGCGUGAGGGAUGACGGCCCUACGGGUUGUAAACCUCUUUUAUGCGGGGAUAAAGUGAGCCACGUGUGGUUCAUUGCAGGUACCGCGAGAAAAAGGACCGGCUAAUUCCGUGCCAGCAGCCGCGGUAAU
rnacentral:rRNA from 1 species